rnacentral:rRNA from 1 species
UACAGCGGUGGCAAGCGUUGUUCGGAAUUACUGGGCGUAAAGGGCGCGUAGGCGGUUCGUUACGUCCUGUGUGAAAUCCCCCGGCUCAACCCUGGGAUGCCGGUGGAUACUGUCGGGCUCGAGUCCGGAAGAGGAGUGUGGAAUUCCUGGUGUAGCGGUGAAAUGCGCAGAUAUCAGGAGGAACACCAAUGGCGAAGGCAGCACUCUGGGACGUGACUGACGCUGAGACGCGAAAGCGUGGGGAGCAAACAGG